CGUCAAAUCAUCAUGCCCCUUAUGUCCUGGGCUACACACGUAAUACAAUGGCCGGUACAACGAGUCGCAACAUGGCAACAUGAAGCUAAUCUCUUAAAGCCGGUCCCAGUCCGGAUUGUCCUCUGCAACUCGAGGGCAUGAAGUUGGAAUCGCUAGUAAUCCCGAAUCAGAAUGUCGGGGUGAAUACGUUCUCGGGUGUU
rnacentral:rRNA from 1 species